AAACCGGGGCUAAUACCGGAUGCUUGUUUGAACCGCAUGGUUCAAACAUAAAAGGUGGCUUCGGCUACCACUUACAGAUGGACCCGCGGCGCAUUAGCUAGUUGGUGAGGUAAUGGCUCACCAAGGCGACGAUGCGUAGCCGACCUGAGAGGGUGAUCGGCCACACUGGGACUGAGACACGGCCCAGACUCCUACGGGAGGCAGCAGUAGGGAAUCUUCCGCAAUGGACGAAAGUCUGACGGAGCAACGCCGCGU
rnacentral:rRNA from 2 species